CUUUAGCCCCGAUUGCAGUGGAAAUCCUUUUUAUUUUUUCUUUAAAAAUAAAAAGAUUGCAACGAAAAGCGGGAACUAUC
rnacentral:sRNA from 1 species